GACGGGAACUAUAAGGGCGUAUGGUGGAUGCCUUGGCUUCAUGGAGGCGAUGAAGGACGCAGCAUGGCGGCGAUACGCUUCGGGGAGGUGCCUAGCAACCUUUGAUCCGGAGAUGUCCGAAUGGGGAAACCCCACUACAUGAACUGUAGUGACCGUGUUUCGUUAUUGUUCAGGACGAAUUCCUAAUUAUCCUAAUUAACCUAAUUUCUAAAUUUAGAAAUUAGAUCAAUUAGAAAUUAGAAAUUUCG
rnacentral:rRNA from 1 species